GAUGGUUUCAUAAGAACUUCCCAACCUCACCCCACGUACAAUAGUUUACUACACGAUAAUAACCUCCAAAAUUUGACGGUUUUCAUUUGGAGUAAAGCCGUUCCAUAGUUAUUGUGGUUUCUUCACCAUCUCGCUCUCCCGUGAUUUUAGCAGUCUGUUUCUCUCCUCGCCCAUAAAACCCUUAACCCCCCACUAUGUGCUCAAUCACCGUGCCCUCCAACAUCAGAAUCAUCCUCAUCUCUCUCUAAUCCAUUGGAGUGGAUCAACGUUACACCUGACUAAAUACAUCGCUUCAAUAGCUUAUUGAAGAAUCAUCCUUGCUUCCUAUCAGCAAUUUCAAAAGCCAUCAUAAUCUUUGUUACGCCAUUCAGAACAAACCCUAGGUUGUGGGAAGAUAAGAGGAUGGUUUCGGUUCAAUUGGAAGCUUUCCUAAUGACAGUAAUGUGUAGUUUCUUGCUCCCAACUCUUAAUUUACCUUUGAUUUAAUCCUUUUCCAAUUUUGUGAUACAUUUUUGUUUUCGACUAUGUGAUGCAAUGCAAAGAGAAGGGUUAAAAUUAACUAUUUUUUCUCUCCUAAGGUACACUUCAGUUUAAAAGAACUUGUGAGGAAAUCCAUAGCAGAGACAGUGGUAACUAAAUCAUUUUGGUUAUUGUGAGAUGUGGUUAUUCUUUUGCAUUUUGGGGAUGCUUUGUUUGCAACAAAAAGUUGUCACUCUUUGCAGGAGUUGAAGCGUUUCCCAUCACUCAAAGCUGACAUAGCAUCUGCUGCAAAUGAAGCACUGGAAAAGUUUCGUGAUGAAAGCCAAAAGCCGACUGGUCGACUAAUCUAACUAUUUAUCAUCCACAUACAUUUGUUAUAGAGGAGGUAAAAUGGGAAAUUGGUGGGUAUAGUAUAUUUGUUGACACGUUGUCCCUUUUUUAUUCUAAAUUACAGUUUAACGAUGGUCAUGUCACUUUUAGUCCAAAUUGUUCACUCAUUGAUGGUAUAUUCGCCAUUUUUACCAACAUACGUUAAAUCUUCAUUAAGUUUAUUUGAAAUAGCAUAAAUUUAACCAAAUAACUGACCUGAUUAAAUGUGUUCGGUUUCGAGUCUAACCUUUAAUUGGGUUCGGGCAUCUCAUGUCACUUAUUAACCGAGUCGGGCCUUUUCGGUGAUCGGGUCUCGGUUAAUAAGGGACACGAGAAGCCCGAACCCAAUUAAAGGUUAAAAAUGACGGGCCUAGCUGUUGAUUGUAUUAAUGGAAAGUAUAACUAGAGUGUGAUCAAGGUCAUAUGAAAGCGCAAAAGGGUACUAUAUUUUAUUUUACCUUUUGAAAAACAAAAAAAAACUAAAUAUUUUGCAGCCAUGAUGAAAGCAUGUAGUCAUGUUAAGAACAAACAGUUCAAUUAGUUAAACUUAGGUUUUAUUUGGUAUAGCAUAUGCUUUAGUUGGUGCUUGCAUUAAAAGAAAAAUAUAAGUUGGUUCUUUAAUAACUGAAAUGAUCUUAAGUUUGCAACUAGCAUUGGAGGUGGAACUUGAUGUAAAAAUCUUUCUUUUCCCUGGGUAGGCUUGAGAUAGCUCUUUAACGUCAUUGAGAAACAUGUGCAAUUGAGAUCUACCCCAAACAAGUAAUGCAUAUUAUUUUAUUUUUAGUUCUUUCAAAUACUAUCAGUUGACUUUAUCAAACAAGAACUUCUUUGUAGUCAAGUAUCAUGCUUAUUAGUCUUUUUUAAUCAGUCCAUCUUUAUGCCCCUUGUCUACUAUACAUGACUAUUAGUUAACUUUUUUCAUAUUAAGGAGUGCCUAACCAUUUCACGUUUCAAUAGUUCAUCAGUUACUUUUUUCAUUGUGUUGUGGUUUUUAGUGUAAUCCAUCUAGUAUGUACUCAUACAUUUAAUGUAUGAUACUAUUAUGUUAAACAAAUACUGAUUUCUAGAAAUUUUAAUUGAAGAUAUUCGUUUUUUUUUUUUCGAACAGCUAAUAAUUUUCACCCCUAUUCCACCUUUGGUGGGUUUCGAACUCCUGCCUCCCCCAAGAGGGUAUUUUCCCUCUACCACUAGGCUACAGCCUAAGUGGCAAUUGCAGAUAUUAGUUAUUUACCAUAGUAAAAAUGACAAAAAAAGACAUACAUUAGGCUUGACAUCAUACCUGUAAUUGAUGAAAGCUCUACAAAAGCUUGUGCCUAAUGCCUAUAAGGUCAGAAUUUAAAAUAAGACUGCAGGGUGUUGAAUAUGAAGUUGAAACUUCCAUGCUACAACAAUCAAUCAACAAAGGACAAAAAGUAUCAUCAUGUUUCAGCUAUAAAUGUUAAUCGCACACCCUUUAAGAGGUCAGGAUCUUGUAAAACUGAAGAAGGCUUAAGUGAGGGUGCUUGAUAUUAUCUCAAGACAACAUGCAUCCAAAUAGUAUAUUCUAAUGUUUGUAUAACUGUAUCCAUACAUACAUGGUUUGGAAUAGAGAUGGCAAUGUGUGCGGAUGGGUGUGACAGAUCAAGAUGGAUAAUUUUGGGUGCUCGCUAUCAUCUUUAGACAACAUGCAACAAAAGCAGUAAGAAUCUAUGUUUGUUUUGAUACAUAUUUUUUUUAAUAUUUGUAGCAAUAUGACAGGUUGGGUAAUUGAGGUUUCGAUCAAAUGUUCUAUUUUUUUGUAAGGGUGAAGUGAUCAGAUCAACUUGAAGAUCUUUUUCUCCAUUCUUAGGUUCUAAUAAAUAAUCAGUGAUUCGGAUAUUCUAGGAAAAUAUACUUAAUUUUCAAACAACCCAUCAAAUUUAAUUUGUUAUAUACUAUAUGUUUCAUAAGGUCAGAUGGCGUUUAUUAGGCCAUAUGUUAUGAGGUGUCGUUGGGGCGAGGGCUUGGGGCAAAUUACAGGAGUUAGGAAGGAGAAAAAGAAGGAACCGUGUGGGCGUCGUAGGAAGACGGGGGCGUGGAACCAUAACGGAGAGGCGUAGUUGGAGCGUGGGGCAGCUAUUCGUAUGAUUAACUCAAAAUGUGUUAUUAAUUUUUCAAUUUUUUAUUUACUUUAUAGGGAUACAACAAAAUAUCAGGUGGAUACUCCCCUGGAGCUCCAACAUUCUUGUCAUGUAAAUGAAUACCUGAUGGCACUUAUUCAUUAAUCAUAAGUUCAUAAUUUUGAGUUGUUA